GAGAUGUUAGUAAAAUAUUACACCUCCUUGUCAAGGUGGAGUUGUUGGUUAAACUCCAGCACAUCUCA
rnacentral:tRNA from 2 species